GCUGCUCUAACGGGGUGCCUUCGGUUUGAAUUCGAACCAGGGCUGAGAGGCUUCGAGCCAACCCGCGGAACCUGAUCCGGCUCAUACCGGCGGAGGGAUUAGAAGCGAUCGGACC
rnacentral:ncRNA from 1 species